rnacentral:rRNA from 1 species
GACGAACGCUGGCGGCGCGCUUAACACAUGCAAGUCGAGCGAGCGGCGGACGGGUGAGUAAUGUCUGGGAAACUGCCUGAUGGAGAGGGAUAACUACUGGAAACGGUAGCUAAUACCGCAUACCAUCGGAUGUGCCCAGAUGGGAUUAGCUAGUAGGUGGGGUAACGGCUCACCUAGGCGACGAUCCCUAGCUGGUCUGAGAGGAUGACCAGCCACACUGGAACUGAGACACGGUCCAGACUCCUACGGGAGGCAGCAGUGGGGAAUAUUGCACAAUGGGCGCAAGCCUGAUGCAGCCAUGCCGCGUGUAUGAAGAAGGCCUUCGGGUUGUAAAGUACUUUCAGCGGGGAGGCGUUACCCGCAGAAGAAGCACCGGCUAACUCCGUGCCAGCAGCCGCGGUAAUUC